AAGAUGAAGAGGAUGCGGGGGGGCCCAGGGCAGGCAGCCUCCUGGGAUCCUUCAGUGUGUACUGGCACGGUUGUGACGGUGAUUGAUACUAGCUCGCCGGGUUGGAAGACGGAGAAACAUUUCAGGAAGGGGAUGGUGUCGAAAAGAAGGGAGAAGGUGUGGAAUGUAAGCAGAAAGAAGAGAAAAUUUGGCUCGGCAGAAAAGUUUAUUGUGGAGAAGGAGAGGGCCGAGAGGCUACGGCCUCUGGCCGAGUUGAAGGAACGGGAGCAGAACGAGAAUGCUGAGCCGCACAAUGAAGAGAGGGGUGAUUUGAAUCUCGGCGUUUGAUAUCAAUAACUUUUGUCAUAAAGGUCAAAUCUGCCAUUGCUCUAUUGUGGCAUCUCCCAUCCAUGCACCGGAAGAGUGGGCUCAAAGUAUGGUUGUCGUCCAAAAUGCAAGCAAAAGAAAAUGGAAUGGAACUUACUUUUUUCACUACAUAAUAUAAAUUUCUCAAUAACAGUGGCAUCUCCCAUCCAUGCACCGGUAGAGUGGGCUCAAAGUAGGUUCUGGAACCAUCAAUGGAGAGAGUACCAAAGAAUCUGUUCAACAUAUUCAAAUUCAUAGAAGGGCAAAGUUUCUAAGAUCCCCCAGGUUACUUGUAAAAAAACACAUCACUCUUUCGCCUGCAUGUUAUUACUAGAAGCCUAAGUCUGAGUUGCCAACCCACUCCUGAAGGCAAAGCAUGAUCAAAUUAAAGGAUUUUUGGGGUUUAAAGCUUCCAACUCCUACAACAUGGGAGUAUUUUUAGUUGUAAAUUUUUCCGGCGCCAAGUUGACGAAGUUCUAAACCAUUCAUCGAGGCGAUGAAGAUUCGUUCGCCAAGAGUUUGCCAAGUAAAAGGGAUGAACUUGUUCAUGAAGAUCGUCAAGGUAAUUUUUUUUUUCUUUUUUUCUUUUUUUUUUUUGAUUCCUUCUUCAGUACAGAACACUGAUGCCUGCUGUUUUGUAAAAAAAAUUAUACUUACUGAGGAGCUAAAAUGGUUAUCAGAAGAUAAACCCUCAUUCUUGUUGCUGAACCUUCAAUCAUUGCAUCUUGGUAGAACUGAUUGUAAUUUAAUCAUAUAGUGCUAACAGAUGGUUGACCAGAGCUCCCAUCAAUCCUGUUCUGCACUAGCAAAUUAUAUCCUGUAGUGUUGGUCUGUUUCCAUUAAAAGAAAUCCCAGAUGCGUUAUCCUGUAUUGGAAUAUGUAGU